CUACGGGCGGCUCCAGUAAGGAAUAUUGGUCAAUGGACGCAAGUCUGAACCAGCCAUGCCGCGUGAAGGAUGAAGGUCCUCUGGAUUGUAAACUUCUUUUAUAGGGGGCGAAAAAAGGGAAAUCUUUCUCACUUGACAGUACCUUAUGAAUAAGCACCGGCUAACUCCGUGCCAGCAGCCGCGGUAAUACGGAGGGUGCAAGCGUUAUCCGGAUUCACUGGGUUUAACGGGUGCGUAGGCGGGCGUAUAAGUCAGUGGUGAAAUCCUGGAGCUUAACUCCAGAACUGCCAUUGAUACUAUAUGUCUUGAAUAUGGUGGAGGUAAGCGGAAUAUGUCAUGUAGCGGUGAAAUGCAUAGAUAUGACAUAGAACACCUAUUGCGAAGGCAGCUUACUACGCCUAUAUUGACGCUGAGGCACGAAAGCGUGGGGAUCAAACAGGAUUAGAUACCCGGGUAGUC
rnacentral:rRNA from 1 species